UUACUUUCCAGUGAUCUCCACUUGACUCCUUACCUCUUUCAUUUGGUUGUAAAUACCACAAUUUAAACUAGCUACCUGCUGCUGUGACCCUGCAUGGGAGGUUGUCUUGACAGAUGUGGCAGGCUUCCCUGGCCCCUUCCUCCUCUAGGAAACCUGUCAAGCACAAUGCCUGCUGUGGGAGCCACCUUCUCCAACUGACACCGCCUGACCCCAGCUUCCAGCUCACUCCCCGCUCUGUGAAGGAAGCAGCUCCAGGUAGUAUGUGUGUGUGUGCGUGUGUAUGUGUGUUUGUAUACAGGGGUGGCUAUACCUGAACCAGAGGUGUGCCCCACUGCAGGCUGGACGGCCUAACAGGUUCUGCUCAAGAGAUGACAGGCCGUCAGCUACACCAGCCGUCCAGCUCUCUGCAUCCCUAAGCAGACCAUGACAGACAGCAGGCAUGGAGCUGCGAGGGCCAUAAGAGUGAGGCCUGAGUCCAGUCUGCCCCAGCCACUGCUUGUAUUCCAGGCCCGGGCUCCCUCAAUCCUCACUGCAAACUCCUUCUCAGGGUGGCCUGAGUGUGGCUCAGCCCCC
rnacentral:lncRNA from 10 species